UCCUUUUCCAUGAACCAAAUGGGGCCUUAGUCCACAUAAAAAUUUUAGUUGCUUGGUUCUUAGGAUAUUUGAGUUUAGAUUUUAUGUUUUGUAGCAUUAAAUCAAUCUUCUUCCCGUAUAGGUUUGCUUCACCAAUGAAAUUCAGAAUUCCAUAAAAAAAGAUUAAAGACACUGAGAUCCGUCCGGAAGAUUUGGGAUGUUCUUCCAGUUCCUGAUAGUCCCGAACUUGAUAAGCAGCUUGAAAUUAUGUUUCGUUGCUAUAUACAACCGAUGAGAUGAGCCUCUGCCUGCGCAGAUGUGUUGGGUGGAUUCGAGCAGCUCCCAUGAGGCUGAUCCUGUGGAGGUUCUUUCAAAACCAUUAUCUUCACUCAGUCUAACAGAUGAGCCACAAACAUCAAGCACCCCUAUCAACAACAUAUGUUGAUCUUGAAGGUUGCGGCCAUUACCUGAUGAUGAUGCAGAAAAAAGAUUAGAAAUAUAUGUUGAUCUUUGAUUACUUGAUUUAGCAAUUCAAUCAAACAAUUACUUCGGUUUCGGAUUCCGAAGUUCGGCCGAUUUGAUCCCCUCGUACAUUUGUGGUUCCUCCGCAAGAAAUAUAACUUGGAUAUCAU